GUUGGAAUACCGGGUGUGUCGGCAGGAGAAGAAAACCAUUCAUCCUUUCCAACGUGGUGACAAAACCCCCGGCCACACAGUUAAAGGCCUUUAAAAGCACACGUGUGUGAGUGCUACAUCAGAAGCCUGCCAAAUGUGGGGAGAGUGCCCAAUUAGUUCAAGGGAACGGUGCCCACACACACACACACACACACACACACACACACACACCUGUCUACCUGGGCUGACAAUGGCUGCGUGCAUACAUUCACACGUUAAUUAAGAAGCUCAGGCCAUGAAUUAGUGAGUCAGGAAAUGAAAGCAGCUCUUCCAUCCUCCCACCCUGAUAAUGCGCACUGUCGUCCUUCCUUUCCACGCUACCUGUCUGUCUUUGAGCACAGCCUCCGUCCUGUAGAGCAGCAGCAGGCGGACGUCGCCGUCUCGCAGGCUAAAGUUGCUCUCCAACAUCUGCAGCACGGCGAUUCGAGGAAGCACCGGCAGGGACGCCUCGCCGCAGAAUGGACGCAACCAGGCCAGCAGGUCGUCCGAGGUCACCGCGUUGUCACUGAGGAGCUAGCAAGCUGCUUCCUGGUUCAUGGAGGAUGACGUAAGACAACACGCCUAUUUGGGGAAAAGGCGUCCAUCCGUCCGUUUGUUAGCUACUAGGCUACUUCUUGGUUCAUGGAGAAAGACAUAAGACAAUAGGACUGUACCACUUUUGGUUCUGGGGUGGUGGUAAGUUGAAUCCUUACAUCAUGACUCAAAUGUCCAACAAAAACAUCUAACAAAACUAAAACAAAAUCAAAAGUGUUUUUUUCAUUUCUCUGUCCGUUUGUUAGAAAGUCUCCAAAAAGUGCAGCGCCUUAACAGGUACCAUACUUGGUGGGAAAAACUGCGUACGCAACCUUUUGGACCCAUUUUGUGCGUACGCAAGCUUUAUGUUUUAUAUUAUCUUUUUUUUUUUAUUCCUGGAGGUGUGGUUAAUCGUUAUAACAUUUUUAUAAUGAAUUUAUUCAUCACAACAAGUCCACAUGUAUUCCUCCUUUGGUCCAGGUGCUAAAUGCUAUUAAGUAGCACAAUGUGGGAGUCACAAAUGACCACUUUUCACUGAUGUCUCAUGGUUGCAUAGCAACAUGGCCUCGUCGAAUCAUAACCUCAUGGUUCCACGCACACACACACAGAGUGCAAUGACAGCAGUGUAGACGAGUGUGACUUAGGCUAACGAGACACAGCACGGUGUACGUAUUCUACUUGACCAGGUUGCAAAGAAGACGACGCUGAGGUUUCCCAUUUUGAUCAAGCAGCGAUGACGUCCUUUCUCACACUCAAAAGCACACAAAAGAGUGAAAGUGUCGUGCAGACGGCUUCUUUCUACCUGCUGGCUGUCUUUGAGCGACACGACGAACGGGUGACUCAGGGUGUCCAGGUGGGCCUGCGAUUGCCGCAGGUGCGCCAGGGCUUCAUCAAAAGUCAUCGCCGCCGCACCCACCCCCUCUCGAUCGCCGGCCCCCUCUGGCCCGCGCUUCCUGCUCUUCUCACCCAGCUGGCGCAGGGCUUUGGUGGCUUGGCGGAUCAGCUCGGAUCGCACUUGGACGCU